rnacentral:rRNA from 1 species
UGCGUAGGCGGCUUCUUAAGUCGGAUGUGAAAUCCCUGAGAUUAACUUAGGAAUUGCAUUCGAUACUGGGAAGCUAGAGUAUGGGAGAGGAUGGUAGAAUUCCAGGUGUAGCAGUGAAAUGCGUAGAGAUCUGGAGGAAUACCGAUGGCGAAGGCAGCCAUCUGGCCUAAUACUGACACUGAGGUGCGAAAGCAUGGGGAGCAAACAGGAUUAGAUACCCCGGUA